UAAAACUUGCACAUUGGUUCAACACGUGUUAAAAUCAGAUAAAUAAGCCGAACAUGACAAUUGAGUGACCGUGCUAGAACCACAAAACUCGGGAUUGCUAACACUUUCUCCUAGAUUAACAGAAUUCCUUAUCCGGAUUUUUGGUGCGCAGACUGUAAUACAUAGUCAUUCGUUUCCUCGAUUCGGGAUUCAACUGGUGACUUGGGACACCAUAAAUCUCC
rnacentral:lncRNA from 1 species